ACUUCAUUAUUUUUUGUUUAACACACAGCACACAACUUUUAUUUCUAUCGAAUUCAAUCAAAUUCUCCGCACCAGACCAAGACGCAAUCCGGCGACUCUCCCUCUUCCUCGCCGCAAUCCGGCCACUCUCAUCUUUCCCCGCCACAAUCCAGCCCCAAGUCGGCGCCGCUGCCCCAUCUCCACACCAGAUUCCUCCACGCCGCGAUCCAUGGCCGCAUUUUCUUCCGACACCAGUUUCUCGCUGCCUCAAUCUCCUCUGUAUACUUAUCCCAUCUCCACACCAGUCUUCGCCGUCAGAGACAGCGGAUGGCGGCGUUUGGCUGCCCAAGCCCCAAUUUCGUCCCCAAAUCCAUCCCUUCUCCCAUCGUAGAUGGUCCGUUGCAACUUGAUUAUUCAUAGGAAUUUGAAGCCAUCCCAUCAGCUUAUUUCUGCAGAUGGAAUCCUCAAAAUCGUCGAUUUUGGCUAGUGUCUCGCCAAUGGCUGCCGCCGAUGCCCAACUUCUCCGAUCACCCAUCCUUUGCUCUCUCCCAGUUCGCCGCUAUCCUUAGCAGAUACACCACCCAUGGUAAGUAUUAUAUUAGGAAAGAUUACGUUUUGACUCUAAAUAUAGAAGCCGCUAGCAUUAGCAGAUACGCCAGCCAUGGUAAGUAUUCUAUUAGGAAAGAUUACGUUUUGACUGUAAAUGAUAGCAUAUAUGCCAUCCAUGGUAAGUAUUCUAUUAGGAAAGAUUACGUUUUGACUCUAAAUAUAGAAUGAUGUUGGUCAAUUUUAUAAAAGAACAAAAUUUGGAAAGAAUUGAAAUAUAUACAAUCAUAGGAUGUAUAUUGGUUAUAUAGGUUUAAGAUUUAUUGAAUUGUUAGUGGUUUAAUUAUUUUCUUUCUCUAUAGUGUAGUGGUUGAUAGUGUUGGUUGAUGAUGGUGAAAGAUAAGGUCUUAUCUUGAAGUAUAAGAACGGACCUUUUCCAGAAAUUUGAGAAAAUUUCUUAUUAUUUUAGUACGAACCCAAAAAACAAUUCAGUUUUACAAAAUCGCCGCUCACUGGGUGUUAGGGACUGCCAGUCUACCAUUAUGAGCAUAGAUUUUGAUGUGGAUGAUGAGUCGGGUGGCCGUGGGUGCUGCUGUACCGAGUCAAGAGAAGGGGGGAAGCUUUGGUGUGGUGUGUGUGUUGUUGGCCGAGUAGUUGAAUCAGGGGCAGAGGGCGAAGAUGCUGGCAGCGUAGGGCUGCUGCUAUUGGCCAGAGUGAGCAGAGGAUAGAGGGAGAAGAAGGUGAGAGGAAGAAAGAGAUGUGUGGUUCCACCAUUUUAGGUUUAAGGAUUUCAAAGGAUUUUGUAUAUUUUACUUUAUUGAUUUGUGGAAAUUUGAGUUGUUGUUGCUGCUGCUAGAAGUUGUGUUUUGUUAUUUGUAGUUGGGUAUUUAAGUUUAUGAGUUGUUAUUGCAAGUGUUAAUUCUUAAGUAUAUGUAGUUAAUGGGGAGUGAUUUUUCUUUAUGAA